GGGGCUGUCAUGUCCCACAGUACAGUAUGACGGGAGUGGUGGGCUGGGAGACUUCUGACCCUAGCACAGUUCUCUACUGUGGGCUGGGGCUAUUAGCUGCAGUAGUUGCUUUCAAGAGGCCUCUGAAGAUGGAAUAUUCUGGAGAUAUUAAGAGCAUGCAGAGAGACAGCUUUGAAAGUGAUGGAUCUAAUCCUUUAGUAUAUUCUACUUGAUAGUCAAUCUGGAUGAGAAGAAGAAAGCUUCACAUGUGAGAUAAAUGCACUCAGAGACUCCUCACAAGUAGCUCUUUGGAGCUUCAGAUGUGAAAUGGAUCAUUCCUCAAUCUGUAAUAGACCCUUCUGUGAAGCUCUUCAAUCAAACCUGAGAAUUCAAGGGGAAAUUGAGGGGAGGAUGAGAAACCCCUACAGGGGGGUUUGAGUGAAGUAGUUGAGAGAAAACCUGGAGUAUUUGGCGUUUUGUAGCAUCCUAAACAGAAGGAUAUUGAAGGGAGCUGAUUCUGCUUUGAUCCUUGUGCUUGUUGUCAAAGCGCUUGGGAUUGAAGAGACUGUUGGCUACAAUUGACUGUGACAAUUAGGAGAUGAUCAGAGCCCUAGAGUGGAGCACUUAAAGGGUAAUUUACAUGUCAGUUUGUCGAAUAAAAAAAAAGAAGAUAUUCAGCUAAGAUUUUUUUCCCCUCAGAGCCUUGUAAACUGCAAUUUGUGCUCUGGUAAGAAAAACCUGGCAGAGGACUUAGGAUAGCCAUUACCAUUUGAAAAGAAGCAAUCAUAAGGCCGCCGCUGAGCCCUUUGUCCACUAAAAAUGCUGAUUUGCAGGCAGUGAGUGAAAAAGUGGAACCGUCACUAAAUAAAACCUAGAGCUAGGUAACUACCCCCCCACCCCCAUGCCUGGUGGUUUUUUUUAAUGCUAGUUAAAGGUGCUUUUUAAAAAACAUAUCUUAAAUCCUACAGUUACUAUCAUUAUAAC
ensembl:lncRNA